rnacentral:rRNA from 1 species
CAGUCGCCGCGGGAAUACGUAGGGUGCAAGCGUUAAUCGGAAUUACUGGGCGUAAAGCGUGCGCAGGCGGUUAUAUAAGUCAGAUGUGCAAUCCCCGGGCUCAACCUGGGAACUGCAUUUGAGACUGUAUGGCUAGAGUGUGUCAGAGGGGGGUAGAAUUCCACGUGUAGCAGUGAAAUGCGUAGAUAUGUGGAGGAAUACCGAUGGCGAAGGCAGCCCCCAGGGAUAACACUGACGCUCAUGCACGAAAGCGUGGGAAGCAAACAGGAUUAGAUACCCCGGUAGUCCCUGUCUCUUAUAC